UCGAACGAUGAUGCCCACUUGUGGGUGGAUUAGUGGCGAACGGGUGAGUAACACGUGAGUAACCUGCCCUUAACUCUGGGAUAAGCCUGGGAAACUGGGUCUAAUACCGGAUAUGACUGACCGUCGCAUGGUGGUUGGUGGAAAGCUUUUUGUGGUUUUGGAUGGACUCGCGGCCUAUCAGCUUGUUGGUGAGGUAAUGGCUUACCAAGGCGACGACGGGUAGCCGGCCUGAGAGGGUGACCGGCCACACUGGGACUGAGACACGGCCCAGUAUCAUACGGGAGGCAGCAGUGGGGAAUAUUGCACAAUGGGCGCAAGCCUGAUGCAGCGACGCCGCGUGAGGGAUGACGGCCUUCGGGUUGUAAACCUCUUUCAGUAGGGAAGAAGCGAAAGUGACGGUACCUGCAGAAGAAGCGCCGGCUAACUACGUGCCAGCAGCCGCGGUAAUACGUAGGGCGCAAGCGUUAUCCGGAAUUAUUGGGCGUAAAGAGCUCGUAGGCGGUUUGUCGCGUCUGCCGUGAAAGUCCGGGGCUCAACUCCGGAUCUGCGGUGGGUACGGGCAGACUAGAGUGAUGUAGGGGAGACUGGAAUUCCUGGUGUAGCGGUGAAAUGCGCAGAUAUCAGGAGGAACACCGAUGGCGAAGGCAGGUCUCUGGGCAUUAACUGACGCUGAGGAGCGAAAGCAUGGGGAGCGAACAGGAUUAGAUACCCUGGUAGUCCAUGCCGUAAACGUUGGGCACUAGGUGGGGGGGAAAUUCCACGUUUUCCGCGCCGUAGCUAACGCAUUAAGUGCCCCGCCU
rnacentral:rRNA from 1 species